rnacentral:rRNA from 1 species
UAGGGAAUCUUCCGCAAUGGACGCAAGUCUGACGGAGCAACGCCGCGUGAGUGAAGAAGGAUUUCGGUUCGUAAAACUCUGUUGUUAGAGAAGAACAGCGCAUAGAGUAACUGUUAUUCGUGUGACGGUAUCUAACCAGAAAGCCACGGCUAACUACGUGCCAGCAGCCGCGGUAAUACGUAGGUGGCAAGCGUUGUCCGGAUUUAUUGGGCGUAAAGCGAGCGCAGGCGGUCAAUUAAGUCUGAUGUGAAAGCCCCCGGCUCAACCGGUGAGGGUCAUUGGAAACUGGUGGACUUGAGUGCAGAAGAGGAGAGUGGAAUUCCAUGUGUAGCGGGGAAAUGCGUAGAUAUAUGGAGGAAAACCAGUGGCGAAGGCGACUCUCUGGUAUGUAACUGAAGCUGAGGCUCGAAAGCGUGGGUAGCAAACAGG